rnacentral:rRNA from 1 species
AUUUUGACCGUGCAAAGGUAGCAUAAUCAUUAGUUCAUUAAUUGUGGACUUGUAUGAAUGGUUGGACGAAAUAUUGACUGUCUCAUAGUAUAAUUUUAUAAUUUAAAUUUUAAGUUAAAAUGCUUAAGUUUUUUUAUAGGACGAGAAGACCCUAUAGAUCUUUAUUAUAUUCUGUUUUAUUCUUAUUUUUGUAUUUAUUUUAUUAAUAUAGUUUAUUUUUUUGUUGGGGUGACAUUGAGAUAUAAUUAACUCUUUUUUAUAUUAAUCAUUUAUUUUUGUUUAUUUGACCUUUUAUUAUUGUUAUAAGAUAUAGAUACCUUAGGGAUAACAGCGUAAUAUUUUUUGAGAGUUCAUAUCGACGAAAUAGAUUGCGACCUCGAUGUUGGAUUAAGAUUAUACUUAGGGGUAGGUUCUUAAGUAUUAAGUCUGUUCGACUUUUAAAUUCUUACAUGAUCUGAGUUCAAAAACCG